rnacentral:lncRNA from 1 species
GAAUUAUUUUUCCAAUUUUAAAAAAUCUUCCUUUUGCUUCGUGGAUAAAAAUCACAUGUCUAUCCAGUUAUAAGAAAAAUAGAGAAAUGCAUCAUCCCAUAAAUUUUUGCUAAGUGAUAACAUAGUCCAGAAGUCAAGUCAUAUUUCUAACAUAGUUCUAGAAUCACUUCAUACUGGAUGCAGAAGAAAAGAAAAGUGAGGAUCAGAAAUGAUUCUACAGUCCUAUCCUCUCUGGAAAUGAUGUACAAAAGAAAUAAGUAUCAUAUGCAUCUCACAGAGAAAUGUUUUAUGGAUAAUUUAAAGUGGAAGAAGGGAAUCGAAGGAGUGAGCAAGGAAGAAAGGAAGGAAAGAAGGAAAGAACGAAGGAAGGAAGGGAGGGAGGGAAACAUGAUUUUCCCAAAAUCAAAUUAAAAUGCCUUAAUAAAACACUCCAAAAAUAACAUUUUAUUUUCACAAAAUUAUCUUUCUCCUGAGAAAAGAAGAUAAUUUUGAGAGAUAUAGUGCAUAAAUAUCCACAUUCUCACGUAUUUCAGUAAUAAAAAGUUAAGUCUUAUUUAUAAGUCUAGUGGACAUUUUAAAAGUUUUGAAUGGUAUCUAACCUGUUUUAUGGUCAUUUUAUCCUUUAUUAAUCAUAGCUAUUUCUUCAUAACUAUAGUUUCCCUUUUUAAUUAACUUAUAUAAAAUAUAUUUUACCAUAAACGAAUGUUGUUCAAUAAUUACUAGGUAAAUUUGGGUAAUAGUAACAACAUUAAUUGAAAAUGGUGCAAAUUUAGAGUGAAUGAGGACAGAAAGCAGAAAUAUUUGAGUAAGUUUUGGAGUAAAGUCAUCAUAUUUUUAGCCAACAUGCAGGCACAGGUAAUCUCUUUAUUGUAAACUUAAUGUGUCAGCUCAAAAAAAGAGAGAAUCUUGAUCUGGAUACUUAUUUAUUUGCUGUCAGAAUAAUCAUCAUGACUGACAUGUUACUUUGGAUAAAUGAAAAUAUUUUAUUAGCUUAUAAUAGACGAAUGUUCAGACUAUACAACAUUUGAAACUAAAUUGGGAACAUUCUCACCAGUACAAUGAACAACAAAGUGAAAAUGCCACUUUUCAAUAUUUGUAUAGAAAAGGGAGAGUGAUAGGGAUUGUUCUGAAAGGAUGUGGCUGUGCUAACAAUUGCAUAGUCUUAAAUAUAGUGCUGUAAUUCUGUGAAAAUACUUUCACUUGGAGAAAGAGCAGAUAUGUGGCCUCCAGAAAAGCAGCUCUGUGUUUUUGUUGUUUCUUAUAAAUAAAUUGUACUGCUAAUUCUCCUGCCUCUCUCUCCUUGCUGCCUGCCUCUGAAAUCCCCUUAUCCUCUCCUGAUAGACAGACACAAAUUGAAUUACCAAACAAAAAAAAAAAAAAAAUUGAAA